rnacentral:misc_RNA from 1 species
GGAGGAGGAUUAUCAAGAACAGUUCUUUUUGCAUUGCUCCAUCAAUGAGAAGCCAAUUUUUGUAUUUGACUUGAGCAACAACUCAAGGAAAGAUGUUCCUUGAAUUUAUAAAUUCUACUUUGUUGGAUGUUGGAAUUCCUCAUUCAAUGUUGUUUUUUAACAUCAUAAUAAUUUGUGAAUAGUAUCAUGUACCUCCUUAAAAGUGAUUCUUGAAUGUUUGAUGAUAAUAAGUGCAGUAAACUCUUUAGGUAGAGUAGCGAGCUUCUGUUGCUGUGAGAU